AUGACUGCAACACUCAACAAAGAGCUGCAGUUAGUUUCAGAAUGGGUGGCAAGGAAUAAAUUAGCCCUAAAUAUUUAUAAAACUAAAAGCAUUUUAUUUGGGACAAAUCAUUCACUAAAGCAUAAGCCUCAACUAAAUAUUGUAAUAAAUCAUGUAAUAAAUAAUGUGGAAAUUGAGGAAAUUGAGCAAGUUGAGGUGACUAAACAGCUUGGAGUAACUCUGGAUUGUAAACUGCCAUGGUCAAAACAUAUUGAUACAACAGUAGCUAAAAUGGGGAAAAGUCUGUCCAUCAUAAAUCGCUGCUCUACCUUCUUAACAACACUAUCAACAAGACAGGUCCUACAGGCCCUAGUUUCUACCUUCGUAACAACACUAUCAACAAGGCAGGUCCUACAGGCCCUAGUUUCUACCUUCUUAACAGCACUAUCAACAAGGCAGGUCCUACAGGCCCUAGUUUCUACCUUCUUAACAACACUAUCAACAAGGCAGGUCCUACAGGCCCUAGUUUCUACCUUCUUAACAACACUAUCAACAAGGCAGGUCCUAGUUUCUACCUUCUUAACAACACUAUCAACAAGGCAGGUCCUACAGGCCCUAGUUUCUACCUUCUUAACAACACUAUCAACAAGGCAGGUCCUACAGGUCCUAGUUUCUACCUUCGUAACAACAUUAUCAACAAGGCAGGUCCUACAGGCCCUAGUUUCUACCUUCUUAACAACACUAUCAUCAAGGCAGGUCCUACAGGCCCUAGUUUCUACCUUCUUAACAACACUAUCAUCAAGGCAGGUCCUACAGGCCCUAGUUUCUACCUUCUUAACAACACUAUCAACAAGGCAGGUCCUACAGGCCCUAGUUUCUACCUUCUUAACAACACUAUCAACAAGGCAGGUCCUACAGGCCCUAGUUUCUACCUUCUUAACAACACUAUCAACAAGGCAGGUCCUACAGGCCCUAGUUUCUACCUUCUUAACAACACUAUCAGCAAGGCAGGUCCUACAGGCCCUAGUUUCUACCUUCUUAACAACACUAUCAACAAGGCAGGUCCUACAGGCCCUAGUUUCUACCUUCUUAACAACACUAUCAACAAGGCAGGUCCUACAGGCCCUAGUUUCUACCUUCUUAUCAACACUGUCAACAAGGCAGGUCCUACAGGUCCUAGUUUCUACCUUCUUAACAACACUAUCAACAAGGCAGGUCCUACAGGCCCUAGUUUCUACCUUCUUAACAACACUAUCAGCAAGGCAGGUCCUACAGGCCCUAGUUUCUACCUUCUUAACAACACUAUCAACAAGGCAGGUCCUACAGGCCCUAGUUUCUACCUUCUUAACAACACUAUCAACAAGGCAGGUCCUACAGGCCCUAGUUUCUACCUUCUUAUCAACACUGUCAACAAGGCAGGUCCUACAGGUCCUAGUUUCUACCUUCUUAUCAACACUGUCAACAAGGCAGGUCCUACACUCCCUAGUUUCUACCUUUCUAAACACCACUAUCAACAAGGCAGGUCCUACAGGCCCUAUUCUCUACCUUCUUAACAACACUAUCAACAUGGCAGGUCCUACAGGCCCUAUUCUCUACCUUCUUAACAACACUAUCAACGAGGCAGGUCCUAGUUCCUACCUUCUUAACAGCACUGUCAACAAGGCAGGUCCUACAGGCUCUAGUUUCUACCUUCUACCUGGACUACUGUUCAGUCGUGUGGUCAGGUGCCACAAAAAUUACUUUUUUUGUUUGCAAUUGGUUCAGAACAGAGCAGCACCUCAGAAAAUUAAAUUUGGCUCAGAACAGGGCAGCACGGCUGGCCCAUUGAAUGUACACAGAGAGCUAACAUUAAUAAUAUGCAUGUCAAUCUCUCCUGGCUCAAAGUGGAGGAGAGGUUGA
rnacentral:lncRNA from 1 species